rnacentral:lncRNA from 1 species
AUGUGCAUGCACUUGUGUGUGCACAGGUGUGUGUGUGCAGAUGCACGUGUGUGUACAUCUGUGCAUCGAUGUGUGAGCAGAGCUAAGCAUAAGCACACAGAUGUGCACACAGGUGUGCGUGCAAAUGAACUCACAGGGCUUCACUGUGCCCCUAGCCAUGUCAAGUGGCGCCAUGCAAUGCUGUGCUGUGCCAUGUCAUGGCCACGCUACCCCACACAAUGCUGUGCUGUACAAUGCCAUGCCACGCAAUGCUGUGUUGUGCUGUACUGUGCAACGCAAUGUGUGUUGUGCCGCACCAUGCAAUGCCAUGCUGUGCUGCACCAUGCCAUGCGAUGCAACAACAUGCCGUACCAUGCAAUGCCAUGCAGUGCUGUGCCAUGCCAUGCUAUGCCAUGCUGUGCUGUAGCAUGCAAUGCAAUGCUGUGCUGUACCAUGCGAUACCACACCGUGCUGUACCAUGCAAUGCCACGCUGUGCUGUACCAUGCAAUGCCACGCCGUGCUGUACCAUGCAAUGCAAUGCUGUGCUGUACCAUGCAAUACCACACCGUGCUGUACCGUGCCAUGCUAUGCAGCGCCACAGCAGAGCCCCGCACCGCAGCAGCGCCGCACACCCCGCUCUCCCCCCCGCUGCCCCUUUAAGGCGGACACCCCGCUCCGACCGCGCGCGCGGGGUGCACGCUCGGCUGUGCGCGCUCGGGUGCGUGUGCGCGCGGGUGUGUGCGUGUGCGCGCCCGCCCCCGGCCCCUCCCCGGCGCUGCCAAUCACCCGGCGGCCGCUUUGAUGUCGGCAGCCCUUGGCCGCCGCGCCGCCGCGCUCGCACACAGGCACCGGGCGCUCCGUGCCUCUGGCUGCCGCCGGCGCCCGCUGCUCCCAGAGAAACUUUGCGGGGCUCGGGCCGGGGGGCGGCACCGGGGGGGGCACCGCCGAGCGCGGCAUCCCGCGACGCCUGCCCGGCUGCAGCCUGCAGAGCCCCCCGCCAGCUGCCGGGGAGGGAGGGAGGGGGGGAGGAAAAGAUUUAA